CUCCAGCCCUUCUUUGACCGGUCUUCUCUCCUCCCUCUUUGAAGACCGUGUUGACGUCGCCAUGGCCAUCAUCAGUGUCUACCCUUGUGCUCGACGAGCGCCCACGCCCUCCCGUUUCCCCAUGGAGCAUUCAUCAAAGCUCAUUAAAUACCCGUCCCAGCCUACGUGUGCGUCGUCGUCUCCACUCGAGUCGUUCAAACUUCAAAGAGAAAGAUGAUACCGAUGUUCUUCGUGGUGCACGAACCCUCAUGCCUAGCUUUAGGUUUGGAGAAUGGAGGACAAGGAUCUCGGUCACUUUCUAUGGCUUACCUCUGAUAACGACUUGGAUACCUAUUCCAAGUCCGUUGUAAUGGGAGGACUCGUCGUUGUUUCUGUGAUCACCAGCAUCCACUUGCUUAGCUACACCAGACAUGGAUGCAAUAUUUCGUGUUACUAGUCUCGAAAUGGUGCUAUCUGUACUGAGCUUUUCACCUCUUUGCAUGUUGUUCUCUUUUUCAUGUUGUUAUCUCUUCCCUUGCAAGUCUUCUUGACCUUGUAAGACCUUUUCUUGACCUUGUAAGGCCUCAUUCCUCGAUCUCCACCCUCGUCCCCGACGGUCUUUGGUUCCCUCUCUUCUCGCUUCCCACUUGCCCUCCUCUCCCGUCUAUCCCUCUUGAGCCGUUUACGUGUGACUGUGCUCGUGGUUGCAAUGUUGUUUCGCCUGCUUCUUUCGUCUCACAUGUUGAUGAUGAUGGAUGAUUGACCGCUCGAGUCUGUCGCAACGUAUGAAAAGUCUUGGAACAUCAUCUGCACUCUUUUUUGUGUGGUAGCUUUCACUGUUCCAACUGGCAUAUGUAUGUACCUAUGUAUGUAUCUCUUUGGGUUUAAGUUCUUUUGGUGUGUUCUAAAAUGGUGCUGGAGCCUGUAAGAAAACAAAGAUCAACUCCAUAAAAUUUGAUGUCGAUGAGCUCUCAUGGGCUUGCAUGCAGUCACUGAAUUUGAUGCCGAGAUCGCUCUCAAUCUCGAGCGAUCCACCUCGGUUUCUGCGACACGCGAGGAUAUCACAAAGCAAGCCAUGGGUUUUAGCAGCGCUGAGAUUGGCAGCAUGCAGGAAAAAGAUAUAGCAGGGUUUGUCAUCUCAGAUGACAAGAUGGUGAGAUAGCAGACCCAUCGAGGAUGAUGACGGUGACGAUGAUGGCUCAGAAUCCAUGGGAGUAACAUCUGAUCAAGGAAAGCUUUCAUAGGAUGACGAUGAUGCCUUUGGCACACAUUCAUCAUGAGGUCACCAUCAUAGAUGAGGACUUCUCUGCUGAAGGACGAAGGCGUCGUUUCAUGUAUUUGGAUUCCUCGAGCAUCCAAUGUUGCGCUCUUCCUGUCUGCUUUACACUUGUAGAUGACAACAAUUAUGCCUAUAAUAAUAACAAUAAUUCAUAAUAUUCUA